rnacentral:rRNA from 1 species
UACGAAGGGGGCUAGCGUUGUUCGGAUUUACUGGGCGUAAAGCGCACGUAGGCGGAUCGUUAAGUGAGGGGUGAAAGGUUCGGGCUCAACCCGGACACUGCCUUUCAUACUGGAGACCUUGAGUACAGGAGAGGCGAGUGGAAUGGUCGGUGUAGCGGUGAAAUGCGUAGAUAUCGAUCGGAACACCCAUGGCGAAGGCAGCUCGCUGGGACGUAUGACGCUGAGACGACGAAGCGUGGGGAGCAAACAGG